UACGUAGGUGGCAAGCGUUGUCCGGAAUUAUUGGGCGUAAAGAGUGCGUAGGCGGUCUAUUAAGUCUGGUUUGAAAGCCCAUGGCUUAACCAUGGAGGGUGACUGGAAACUGGUAGACUUGAGUAUAGGAGAGGAAAGUGGAAUUCCACGUGUAGCGGUGAAAUGCGUAGAUAUGUGGAGGAACACCGGUGGCGAAGGCGGCUUUCUGGCCUAUUACUGACGCUAAUGCACGAAAGCGUGGGUAGCAAACAGGAUUAGAUAGCCUGGUAGUCCACGCCGUAAACGAUGAGUACUAAGUGUUGGGGGAAACCUCGGUGCUGAAGUUAACGCAUUAAGUACUCCGCCUGGGAAGUACGGUCGCAAGACUGAA
rnacentral:rRNA from 1 species